GACCACGUAGCUCAGUUGGCAGAGCAUUGGACUGGUAUCCCAAAGGUUGCUGGUUCGACUCCCACCGUGGCCA